rnacentral:rRNA from 1 species
UUCGCCCUUAGAGUUUGAUCCUGGCUCAGGAUGAACGCUGGCGGCGUGCCUAACACAUGCAAGUCGAGCGAAGCGAUUUUGGGGAAGUUUUCGGAUGGAAUUGAAAUUGACUUAGCGGCGGACGGGUGAGUAACACGUGGGUAAUCUGCCUUAUACAGGGGGAUAACAGUUAGAAAUGACUGCUAAUACCGCAUAAGCGCACGGGGACGCAUGUUUCUGUGUGAAAAACUCCGGUAGUAAAAGAUGAGCCCGCGUCUGAUUAGCUUGUUGGUGGGGUAACGGCCUACCAAGGCGACGAUCAGUAGCCGGCCUGAGAGGGUGAACGGCCACAUUGGGACUGAGACACGGCCCAAACUCCUACGGGAGGCAGCAGUGGGGAAUAUUGCACAAUGGGGGAAACCCUGAUGCAGCGACGCCGCGUGAGUGAAGAAGUAUUUCGGUAUGUAAAGCUCUAUCAGCAGGGAAGAAAAAAGACGGUACCUGACUAAGAAGCCCCGGCUAACUACGUGCCAGCAGCCGCGGUAAUACGUAGGGGGCAAGCGUUAUCCGGAUUUACUGGGUGUAAAGGGAGCGUAGACGGCGCGGCAAGUCUGAAGUGAAAGACAGGGGCUUAACCCCUGAACUGCUUUGGAAACUGCCAUGCUAGAGUGCUGGAGAGGUAAGUGGAAUUCCUAGUGUAGCGGUGAAAUGCGUAGAUAUUAGGAGGAACACCAGUGGCGAAGGCGGCUUACUGGACAGUAACUGACGUUGAGGCUCGAAAGCGUGGGGAGCAAACAGGAUUAGAUACCCUGGUAGUCCACGCCGUAAACGAUGGAUACUAGGUGUGCGGGGACUGACCCCCUGCGUGCCGCAGCUAACGCAAUAAGUAUCCCACCUGGGGAGUACGAUCGCAAGGUUGAAACUCAAAGGAAUUGACGGGGGCCCGCACAAGCGGUGGAUUAUGUGGUUUAAUUCGAUGCAACGCGAAGAACCUUACCAGGGCUUGACAUCCUACUAACGAAGUAGAGAUACAUUAGGUACCCUUCGGGGGAAGUAGAGACAGGUGGUGCAUGGUUGUCGUCAGCUCGUGUCGUGAGAUGUUGGGUUAAGUCCCGCAACGAGCGCAACCCUUAUUGUUAGUUGCUACGCAAGAGCACUCUAGCGAGACUGCCGUUGACAAAACGGAGGAAGGUGGGGACGACGUCAAAUCAUCAUGCCCCUUAUGUCCUGGGCUACACACGUAAUACAAUGGCGGCCAACAGAGGGAUGCAAAGCUGUGAAGUGGAGCGAACCCCUAAAAGCCGUCCCAGUUCAGAUUGCAGUCUGCAACUCGACUGCAUGAAGUCGGAAUCGCUAGUAAUCGCGGAUCAGCAUGCCGCGGUGAAUACGUUACCGGGCCUUGCACUCACCGCCCGUCA